UCCUGGUUAACCCAGGCAGUCUCAUUAGAGUUCCCAGCCGAACUGUUGGCAACUAAUGACAAGGGUUGCGCUCGUUGCGGGACUUAACCCAACACCUCACGGCACGAGCUGACGACAGCCAUGCAGCACCUGUGUACCGGCCCCGAAGGGAAGCACCGUUUCCGGUGCGGUCCAAUACAUGUCAAGCCCAGGUAAGGUUCUUCGCGUUGCAUCGAAUUAAACCACAUGCUCCACUGCUUGUGCGGGUCCCCGUCAAUUCUUUUGAGUUUCACCCUUGCGAGCGUACUCCCCAGGCGGUAUACUUAAUGCGUUAGCUUCGGCACAGCCGGGGUUGAGUCCGGCUACACCUAGUAUACAUCGUUUACGGCUAGGACUAC
rnacentral:misc_RNA from 1 species